CAAAGUGCUGUUAGUGCAGGUAGUGUGUGUUUGAAUCUACUGCAUUAGAAGCACUUCUGAA
rnacentral:pre_miRNA from 1 species